rnacentral:tRNA from 1 species
UUUUUUAUAGUUAAUGAGAUAACGUUAUUUUUGUAAAUUAAAAUUGUAUUAAAAUACUUAAAAAU